rnacentral:rRNA from 1 species
AGAGUUUGAUCCUGGCUCAGGAUGAACGCUGGCGGCAUGCCUAAUACAUGCAAGUCGAACGAGGAUCCUUGUGGAUCCUAGUGGCGAACGGGUGAGUAACACGUAGGGAACCUGCCCGCGCACCGGGAAUACGCUCUGGAAACGGAGAACAAAUCCCGAUGUACAGGAAGGAGGCAUCUUCUUUCUGUGAAACAUCCUGUAAGGGAUGGGGCGCGGAUGGACCUGCGGUGCAUUAGUUGGUUGGCGAGGGUAAAGGCCCACCAAGACGAUGAUGCAUAGCCGGCCUGAGAGGGCGGACGGCCACAUUGGGACUGAGACACGGCCCAGACUCCUGCGGGAGGCAGCAGUAGGGAAUUUUCGUCAAUGGGCGCAAGCCUGAACGAGCGAUGCCGCGUGAGUGAAGAAGGCCUUCGGGUCGUAAAGCUCUGUUGCGGGGGAAAAAAGGCAUCUGCAGGAAAUGGUAGAUGACAGAUGGUGCCCCGCCAGAAAGUCACGGCUAACUACGUGCCAGCAGCCGCGGUAAUACGUAGGUGGCGAGCGUUAUCCGGAAUGAUUGGGCGUAAAGGGUGCGCAGGCGGUCCUGCAAGUCUGGAGUGAAACGUAUGAGCUCAACUCAUGCAUGGCUCUGGAAACUGGAGGACUGGAGAGCAAGAGAGGGCGGUGGAACUCCAUGUGUAGCGGUAAAAUG